CGCGGCCUAUCAGCUUGUUGGAGAGGUAACGGCUCACCAAGGCAUCGACGGGUAGCUGGUCUGAGAGGAUGAUCAGCCACACUGGGACUGAGACACGGCCCAGACUCCUACGGGAGGCAGCAGUGGGGAAUCUUGCACAAUGGGCGAAAGCCUGAUGCAGCAACGCCGCGUGCGGGAAGAAGGCCCUAGGGUUGUAAACCGCUUUCAGUAGGGAAGAAAAUGACGGUACCUACAGAAGAAGGUGCGGCCAACUACGUGCCAGCAGCCGCGGUGACACGUAGGCACCAAGCGUUAUCCGGAUUUAUUGGGCGUAAAGAGCUCGUAGGCGGUUUGGUAAGUCGGUUGUGGAAACUCUGGGCUCAACCCAGAGAGGCCACCCGAUACUGCUAUGACUAGAGUACGGUAGGGGAGCGGGGAAUUCAUGGUGCAGCGGUGAAAUGCGCAGAUAUCAUGAGGAACACCAGCGGCGAAGGCGCCGCUCUGGGCCGUAACUGACGCUGAGGAGCGAAAGCGUGGGUAGCAAACAGGAUUAGAUACCCUGGUAGUCCACGCCGUAAACGUUGGGCACUAGGUGUGGGUCUCAACCAACAAGAUCCGCGCCGUCGCUAACGCAUUAAGUGCCCCGCCUGGGGAGUACGG
rnacentral:rRNA from 1 species